rnacentral:rRNA from 1 species
CCUACGGGAGGCAGCAGUGGGGAAUUUUGCGCAAUGGGGGAAACCCUGACGCAGCAACGCCGCGUGAGUGAUGAAGGCCUUCGGGUCGUAAAGCUCUGUCAGAUGGGAAGAAGGUUCCGUUUCCGAAUAAGAAACGGAAUUGACGGUACCGUCGAAGGAAGCACCGGCUAACUCCGUGCCAGCAGCCGCGGUAAUACGGAGGGUGCAAGCGUUGUUCGGAUUUAUUGGGCGUAAAGAGCGUGUAGGCGGCCAGGUAAGUCAGAGGUGAAAUCCCUGGGCUUAACCAAGGAAGGGCAUUUGAAACUGUCGGGCUUGAGUACGGGAGGGGGAAGGGGAAUUCCCGGUGUAGAGGUAAAAUGCGUAGAUAUCGGGAGGAACACCGGUGGCGAGGGCGGCUUCCGGGACCGAUACUGACGCUGAGACGCGAAAGCGUGGGGAGCAAACAGGAUUAGAUCCCCUAGUAGU